rnacentral:rRNA from 1 species
ACGGUACCUAUAGAAGAAGCACCGGCCAACUACGUGCCAGCAGCCGCGGUAAUACGUAGGGUGCGAGCGUUGUCCGGAAUUACCGGGCGUAAAGAGCUCGUAGGUGGUUUGUCGCGUUGUUCGUGAAAACUCACAGCUUAACUGUGGGCGUGCGGGCGAUACGGGCAGACUGGAGUACUGCAGGGGAGACUGGAAUUCCUGGUGUAGCGGUGGAAUGCGCAGAUAUCAGGAGGAACACCGGUGGCGAAGGCGGGUCUCUGGGCAGUAACUGACGCUGAGGAGCGAAAGCGUGGGGAGCGAACAGGAUUAGAUACCCUGGUAGUCCACGCCGUAAACGGUGGGUACUAGGUGUGGGUUUCCUUCCUUGGGAUCCGUGCCGUAGCUAACGCAUUAAGUACCCCGCCUGGGGAGUACGGCCGCAAGGCUAAAACUCAAAGGAAUUGACGGGGGCCCGCACAAGCGGCGGAGCAUGUGGAUUAAUUCGAUGCAACGCGAAGAACCUUACCUGGGUUUGACAUGCACAGGACGCUGGUAGAGAUAUCAGUUCCCUUGUG